GUGAUUUCCUGCUUGUAAUUCUCACACUCCGUUGUUGAAAGUGUAUUGGACUGCCAACGUGCUGAAACACAGAUAUGUUGGGAGUUGCCCGGAUGUCUUUGUCAGAGCCACGAUGUGUGAGGUAACGUGGUAGCCAUGCCAAGGCAAGGUGGGGGUACUGCUAUGGUAACUCUUACAUGUUUUGCUCUAAGUUUAGUCCUGAAUAGAACCCGUGACUUAGGAGCAGCUGCCAUGAAAAGGUUACAGCCUCUUCUUUUAUGGCUCUUUGGAAAUAGCCAUGCCACUGACUCACGAUGUUCUCCUCUUUUUUUAAAUAUAACAUGUUCAUGAAAUGACAGAGGUAGUACUGUAAAUGUGUGUAGUGUUCAAAUCAUAACAGACACAUCAUCCCCAUCAUGUACUGUAUGUGGCAGUGAUCAUGGUGACUGAUUAGAUACUAUGGUUAGCGAAAGACAGUAGAUCCACAAAUCUUUUUUUUUUUCCUUCAUUUUUUUUCCUUCUCAGUUCUCUGACAGGCUCACUUGAAAAAAUUAAGUUGGUAUGAUAUGCUAUGAAAAUAAUUAUUGGCUUAAUUGCAUAUGUGGUAUAAAAUAUAUAAACAGAUAGUAUUCUUUCGUUGCUGUGAGUGCCACUGCCAAUACAUACACCCCCAUCAUGAUGGCUCACACGUUUAGCCAGAGAGAAUGGUUUGUUGUUAACCUCCUAAUCGGACAGUCUUCAGAGAUGACAGAUGGACUUUAAGAGUUCCUCCGUUGACAGGAAAGGUAUAGUUGCCGUCUAAGUAUAUUUUAUGAUAUUUGAAAUCUGCACACUGCACAGGUACGUUUCCUGAUGAGGAAUGUCCAGUGUCCUCUGGAGAAAGAGAAGGGGCCUGAAGCAGCUCUGUUAGUGUGUUACAGGUAGAAGAUGUCUUUCUAGUUAAAACAGGGACACAAAAUUACAGACAAUAACAUCAGAGACCAAAUAAAAAGCAGUAGUUGCUAUCCAGGCUCCUUGGGAUGUCACAACCCUGGUUUCAUG
ensembl:lncRNA